AACGUAGGUACCGAGCGUUAUCCGGAUUUACUGGGCGUAAAGCGCGUUCAGGCGGUUCGGCAAGUCGGGCAUGAAAUCUCUCGGCUCAACCGGGAGAGGUUGUCCGAUACUGCUGGACUUGAGGGCAGUAGAGGGUGGUGGAAUUCCGGGUGUAGUGGUGAAAUGCGUAGAUAUCCGGAGGAACACCAGUGGCGAAAGCGGCCACCUGGACUGCACCUGACGCUGACACGCGAAAGCUAGGGGAGCGAACGGG
rnacentral:rRNA from 1 species